rnacentral:tRNA from 1 species
GGAGGAGUGGCAGAGUGGUCGAAUGCGGCGGUCUUGAAAACCGUUGAGGUGCAAGCCUCCGGGGGUUCGAAUCCCUCCUCCUCCGCCA